rnacentral:lncRNA from 1 species
CACAUAGAUUUUGAGAAAAAUUCAAAAAAUUUGAGAAUACUAUUUUAAUGCAUAGUUGAAUCAUAUAAUAACAUAUGAUGAAUUUCAAAGAGGUUUGGAACCUUUGUUGUCUCCGUUUCUCUAGGGAAUAGCAAUUUUAUAGUGGUUAGUCUAAUGAUUUAUGGAGUAUUUGCAGUUUUGCUAAAUUAAUGGAUAAAAAAUUAGAACGAUGUCCAAGUACCAUGAAAAGAAGUUUAUCAUACAUUAAUACAACGGUAAAAUGUGGUUUUAAAUUUUAAAACAAAUUUAAAGAAUAUAGGCUUCAUAUAUAGAGCAUUUACCGAAAACUCACUAUUUUCGUAGGGGUUAACACAUAGAUUUUGAAAAAAAAUUAAAAAAAUUGAAAAUACUGUUUUAAUACAUAUUUGAAUCAUAUAAUUGAAUAUGAUGAAGUUCAAAGAGGUUUGGAACCUUUGUUGUCUCCGUUUCUCUAGGGAAUAGCAAUUUUAUAGUGGUUAGUCCAAUGAUUUAGGGAGUAUUUGCAGUUUUGCUAAAUUAAUGGAUAAAAAAUUAGAACAAUGUCCAAGUACCAUGAAAUUAAGUUUAUCAUACAUUAAUACAAAGGUAUAAUGUGGUUUUAAAUUUUAAAACAAAUUUAAACAUUAUAGGCUUCAUAUAUAGAGCAUUUACCGAAAACUCACUAUUUUCGUAGAGGUUAACACAUAGAUUAAUGUGGUUAUAAAUUUUAAAACGAAUUAAAAGAUUAUAAGCUUCAUAUAUAGACCAUUUACCGAAAACUCACUAUUUUCGUAAGGGGGUACACAUAGAUUUUGAGAAAAAUUCAAAAAAUUUGAGAAUACUAUUUUAAUGCAUAGUUGAAUCAUAUAAUAACAUAUGAUGAAUUUCAAAGAGGUUUGGAACCUUUGUUGUCUCCGUUUCUCUAGGGAAUAGCAAUUUUAUAGUGGUUAGUCCAAUGAUUUAGGGAGUAUUUGCAGUUUUGCUAAAUUAAUGGAUAAAAAAUUAGAACGAUGUCCAAGUCCAUGAAAAGAAGUUUAUCAUAAAUUAAUACAAAGGUAUAAUGUGGUUUUAAAUUUUAAAACAAAUUUAAAGAUUAUAGGCUUCAUAUAUAGAUCAUUUACCGAAAACUCACUAUUUUCGUAGGGGUUAACACAUAGAUUUUGAAAAAAAAAAAAAAAUUGAAAAUACUGUUUUAUUGCAUAUUUGAAUCAUGUAAUUAAAUAUGAUGAAGUUCAAAGAGGUUUGGAACCUUUGUUGUCUCCGUUUCUCAAGGGAAUAGCAAUUUUAUAGUGGUUAGUCUAAUGAUUUA